AUUGAACGCUGGCGGCAUGCCUAACACAUGCAAGUCGAACGGCAGCACGGCAGUAGCAAUACUGUGGGUGGCGAGUGGCGGACGGGUGAGGAAUACGUCGGAAUCUGCCCAGUCGUGGGGGAUAACUAGCCGAAAGGUUAGCUAAUACCGCAUACGACCGAGAGGUGAAAGCGGGGGGACCGCAAGGCCUCGCGCGAUUGGAUGAGCCGACGUCGGAUUAGCUAGUUGGUGGGGUAAAGGCCCACCAAGGCGACGAUCCGUAGCUGGUCUGAGAGGAUGAUCAGCCACACUGGAACUGAGACACGGUCCAGACUCCUACGGGAGGCAGCAGUGGGGAAUAUUGGACAAUGGGCGCAAGCCUGAUCCAGCAAUGCCGCGUGAGGGAUGACGGCCUCGGUUGUAACGUACUUCUAGCAGGGAAGAAGCGAAAGUAGACGGUACCGUGCAGAAGAAGACA
rnacentral:rRNA from 1 species